rnacentral:lncRNA from 1 species
GCUUAUGUAAGUUGCGAUAAAAUCGACGUUCUAGCCCUCUAGCGAUUACCUCCAACGAAUCCUUUAUUUCUUCUGGAGACAAAACUGCGGAUUCUGCAUUUAUUGGUCGCGGAAUCAUUUUCUU